ACCGCACAAGCGGUGGAUGAUGUGGUUUAAUUCGAUGCAACGCGAAAACCUUACCCACCUUGACAUGUACGGAAUCCUUAGAGAUAGAGGAGUGCUCGAAAGAGAACCGUAACACAGGUGCUGCAUGGCUGUCGUCAGCUCGUGUCGUGAGAUGUUGGGUUAAGUCCCGCAACGAGCGCAACCCUUGUCAUUAGUUGCUACAUUCAGUUGGGCACUCUAAUGAGACUGCCGGUGACAAACCGGAGGAAGGUGGGGAUGACGUCAAGUCCUCAUGGCCCUUAUAGGUGGGGCUACACACGUCAUACAAUGGAUGGUACAAAGGGUCGCCAACCCGCGAGGGGGAGCCAAUCCCAUAAAGCCAUUCGUAGUCCGGAUCGCAGUCUGCAACUCGACUGCGUGAAGUCGGAAUCGCUAGUAAUCGUGGAUCAGAAUGUCACGGUGAAUACGUUCCCGGGUCUU
rnacentral:rRNA from 1 species